rnacentral:rRNA from 1 species
AUUGAACGCUGGCGGCAGGCCUAACACAUGCAAGUCGAGCGGAGCGGCGGACGGGUGAGUAAUGCCUAGGAAUCUGCAUGGUAGUGGUGGAUAACGUUCGGAAACGGGCACUAAUACCGCAUACUAUCAGAUUAGCCUCGGUCGGAUUAGCUAUUUGGUGGGGUAAAGGCCUACCAAGGCGACGAUCCGUACCUGGUCUGAGAGGAUGAGCAGCCACACUGGAACUGAGACACGGUCCAGACUCCUACGGGAGGCAGCAGUGGGGAAUAUUGGACAAUGGGCGAAAGCCUGAUCCAGCCAUGCCGCGUGUGUGAAGAAGGUCUUCGGAUUGUAAAGCACUUUAAGUUGGGAGGCGUUACCAACAGAAUAAGCACCGGCUAACUACGUGCCAGCAGCCGCGGUAAUAC